GCGAACGGGAUUAGAUACCCUGGUAGUCCACGCCCUAAACGAUGUCUACUAGUUGUCGGGUCUUAAUUGACUUGGUAACGCAGCUAACGCGUGAAGUAGACCGCCUGGGGAGUACGGUCGCAAGAUUAAAACUCAAAGGAAUUGACGGGGACCCGCACAAGCGGUGGAUGAUGUGGAUUAAUUCGAUGCAACGCGAAAAACCUUACCUACCCUUGACAUGUCAGGAACCUCCGAGAGAUUGGAGGGUGCCCGAAAGGGAACCUGAACACAGGUGCUGCAUGGCUGUCGUCAGCUCGUGUCGUGAGAUGUUGGGUUAAGUCCCGCAACGAGCGCAACCCUUGUCAUUAGUUGCUACGAAAGGGCACUCUAGUGAGACUGCCGGUGACAAACCGGAGGAAGGUGGGGAUGACGUCAAGUCCUCAUGGCCCUUAUGGGUAGGGCUUCACACGUCAUACAAUGGUACAUACAGAGGGCCGCCAACCCGCGAGGGGGAGCUAAUCCCAGAAAGUGUAUCGUAGUCCGGAUCGCAGUCUGCAACUCGACUGCGUGAAGUUGGAAUCGCUAGUAAUCGCGGAUCAGCAUGCCGCGGUGAACACGUUCCCGGGUCUUGUACACACCGCCCGUCACACCAUGGGAGCGGGUUUUACCAGAAGUAGGUAGCUUAACCGCAAGGAGGGCGCUUACCACGGUAGGAUUCGUGACUGGGG
rnacentral:rRNA from 1 species